GGCCCGGAUAAUCAUGGCGACUCUCAGAGUGUCUUUAUUGCUGUGGAAUCUCCAUGCAGGUUCUCGGGGUGCUGAGCGAGUCUAUUUCCGGGCCCGCGCUCGGCCCCGGCCCGACUGCCUGUUCCAGCCUCUGCCCGGGGUCUGCGGGGCGGGAACACCAUGCCGUGGGCUCUGUUCCGAGGCCGAAUCUGGUAGCCCAAAGAUCAAGAAACCUACUUUUAUGGAUGAGGAAGUCCAAAGCAUACUCAUCAAGAUGACAGGCUUGGAUUUACUGAAGAUUUUUAAGCCAGCAAUACGAGAAACGAAGCCACCAACUUACAAACUAAUGACCCAGGCACAGUUGGAAGAGGCUACAAGACAGGCGAUUGAGGCAGCUAAAGUCCGAUUAAAAAUGCCACCAGUUCUGGAAGAGCGAACACCAAUAAAUGAUGUGUUAGCUGAAGAUAAGAUAUUGGAAGGAACCGAAACAGUCAAAUACGUGUUUACUGAUAUAUCAUACAGCAUACCACAUCGAGAGCGUUUUAUUGUUGUCAGAGAACCAAGUGGCACACUACGCAAAGCCUCUUGGGAAGAACGGGACCGUAUGAUUCAAAUUUAUUUCCCAAAAGAAGGCCGUAGAGUUUUAACACCAGUAAUUUUCAGGGAAGAAAAUCUUCAGACCAUGUACAGUCAGGACCGGCAUGUUGAUGUCCUCAAUCUCUGCGUUGCCCAGUUUGAGCCAGAUUCUGCUGACUAUAUCAAAAUUCAUCAUCAGACCUAUGAAGAUAUAGAUAAAUAUGGAAAGUAUGACCUUUUACGUUCAACAAGACACUUCGGUGGUAUGGCUUGGUAUUUUGUAAAUAAGAAAAAGAUCGAUGGUUUAUUGAUUGACCAGAUUCAGAGAGAUUUUGAACAACUGGUGUGUGCCCUGCCUUCUAGCUGAAAUAACACUUUAUGAUUUGCGAUGACACUAAAGAGAAAAUUAUCUUUUGAAUAUCUUUCCAUUGGUUGAGUCAAGGUCAAAAUGGCAAGGAAAAGAAACAAGCAUGGCUGUAGUAAGAAGGUCACAGGAAGGGUUAGUGAUUACUGUCACCUUGAACAGUUGAUGAUGCCGCCAGCUUGGUCCAGCUCUAUCACAUCCUCCAUCCUGAUGGCCAGUCAGCUCAAGAGGCCAAAGAGCAGGCUGCUGA